rnacentral:rRNA from 1 species
AUGAACGCUAGCUACAGGCUUAACACAUGCAAGUCGAGGGGCAGCAUGGUCUUAGCUUGCUAAGGCCGAUGGCGACCGGCGCACGGGUGAGUAACACGUAUCCAACCUGCCGUCUACUCUUGGACAGCCUUCUGAAAGGAAGAUUAAUACAAGAUGGCAUCAUGAGUCCGCAUGUUCACAUGAUUAAAGGUAUUCCGGUAGACGAUGGGGAUGCGUUCCAUUAGAUAGUAGGCGGGGUAACGGCCCACCUAGUCUUCGAUGGAUAGGGGUUCUGAGAGGAAGGUCCCCCACAUUGGAACUGAGACACGGUCCAAACUCCUACGGGAGGCAGCAGUGAGGAAUAUUGGUCAAUGGGCGAGAGCCUGAACCAGCCAAGUAGCGUGAAGGAUGACUGCCCUAUGGGUUGUAAACUUCUUUUAUAAAGGAAUAAAGUCGGGUAUGGAUACCCGUUUGCAUGUACUUUAUGAAUAAGGAUCGGCUAACUCCGUGCCAGCAGCCGCGGUAAUACGGAGGAUCCGAGCGUUAUCCGGAUUUAUUGGGUUUAAAGGGAGCGUAGAUGGAUGUUUAAGUCAGUUGUGAAAGUUUGCGGCUCAACCGUAAAAUUGCAGUUGAUACUGGAUAUCUUGAGUGCAGUUGAGGCAGGCGGAAUUCGUGGUGUAGCGGUGAAAUGCUUAGAUAUCACGAAGAACUCCGAUUGCGAAGGCAGCCUGCUAAGCUGCAACUGACAUUGAGGCUCGAAAGUGUGGGUAUCAAACAGGAUUAGAUACCCUGGUAGUCCACACGGUAAACGAUGAAUACUCGCUGUUUGCGAUAUACGGCAAGCGGCCAAGCGAAAGCGUUAAGUAUUCCACAUGGGGAGUACGCCGGCAACGGUGAAACUCAAAGGAAUUGACGGGGGCCCGCACAAGCGGAGGAACAUGUGGUUUAAUUCGAUGAUACGCGAGGAACCUUACCCGGGCUUAAAUUGCAGAUGAAUUACGGUGAAAGCCGUAAGCCGCAAGGCAUCUGUGAAGGUGCUGCAUGGUUGUCGUCAGCUCGUGCCGUGAGGUGUCGGCUUAAGUGCCAUAACGAGCGCAACCCUUGUUGUCAGUUACUAACAGGUUCUGCUGAGGACUCUGACAAGACUGCCAUCGUAAGAUGUGAGGAAGGUGGGGAUGACGUCAAAUCAGCACGGCCCUUACGUCCGGGGCUACACACGUGUUACAAUGGGGGGUACAGAGGGCCGCUACCACGCGAGUGGAUGCCAAUCCCAAAAACCUCUCUCAGUUCGGACUGGAGUCUGCAACCCGACUCCACGAAGCUGGAUUCGCUAGUAAUCGCGCAUCAGCCACGGCGCGGUGAAUACGUUCCCGGGCCUUGUACACACCGCCCGUCAAGCCAUGGGAGCCGGGGGUACCUGAAGUGCGUAACCGCGAGGAGCGCCCUAGGGUAAAACUGGUGACUGGGGCU